rnacentral:lncRNA from 1 species
CAGUUUACCUCCCUACUUCUUUUCCCUGAGCACCUACUGUGUGCCCUUGCCAGUGCUCUUAACAACUGAGCCUCUACCGCCUUUGCCUGUGAUCGCUUUCUUAGAAAGCCUCUUCUGUCCUUCCCAAGUCUAAUCCUCCUGUACUUCCUCCAGGCCUUCCUAGCCCCAUCUUCUAACCUGCUAGGGUUUUCUCACGUGGGUUCUUCUUUGAGGGCUCUCUGGCUUCCCUACUGAGCUGUAGCUGCCAAAGUUGAAGGGCUGCGUCUCCCUUGCGUCUCCCCAGUCUUUACAGCUCCUGAAACACACUAAGGUUCUGAGUUCUCUGUUGCUGUGGGACCCGAAAAAAAGCCAGCCAGUAACUAUGAGCUUCUAUUUCCUCACUUAAAAACCAUAGAAAACCAUCCGAGAAGAGGACGAGUGAAGUGCCUGGCAAGAGGUCAGUCCUCAUUAAGUGUUUAUUAUUUACACACUGUUCAUUUAUGAGCUUUGAUCCCA